UCUUAUGAAUGAGCAAGGAAAGUGGUUUCUUGAGAUGGAAUCUACUCCUGGUGGAGACGCUCAUGAA
rnacentral:pre_miRNA from 1 species